rnacentral:tRNA from 2 species
CGGGGCGUAGCGCAGCUUGGUAGCGCAUCUGCUUUGGGAGCAGAGGGUCGCUGGUUCGAAUCCAGUCGCCCCGA